UUAAGCGACCAAGCGUACACGGUGGAUGCCCUGGCAGUCAGAGGCGAUGAAGGACGUGCUAAUCUGCGAAAAGCGCCGGUAAGGUGAUAUGAACCGUUAUAACCGGCGAUGUCCGAAUGGGGAAACCCAGUGUGUUUCGACACACUAUCAUUAACUGAAUCCAUAGGUUAAUGAGGCGAACCGGGGGAACUGAAACAUCUAAGUACCCCGAGGAAAAGAAAUCAACCGAGAUUCCCCCAGUAGCGGCGAGCGAACGGGGAGGAGCCCAGAGCCUGAAUCAGCAUGUGUGUUAGUGGAAGCGUCUGGAAAGGCGCGCGAUACAGGGUGACAGCCCCGUACACAAAAGCGCAUGUGCUGUGAGCUCGAUGAGUAGGGCGGGACACGUGGUAUCCUGUCUGAAUAUGGGGGGACCAUCCUCCAAGGCUAAAUACUCCUGACUGACCGAUAGUGAACCAGUACCGUGAGGGAAAGGCGAAAAGAACCCCGGCGAGGGGAGUGAAACAGAACCUGAAACCGUGUACGUACAAGCAGUGGGAGCACAGGUUUACCUGUGUGACUGCGUACCUUUUGUAUAAUGGGUCAGCGACUUAUAUUCUGUAGCAAGGUUAACCGCAUAGGGGAGCCGGAGGGAAACCGAGUCUUAAUUGGGCGUUAAGUUGCAGGGUAUAGACCCGAAACCCGGUGAUCUAGCCAUGGGCAGGUUGAAGGUUGGGUAACACUAACUGGAGGACCGAACCGACUAAUGUUGAAAAAUUAGCGGAUGACCUGUGGCUGGGGGUGAAAGGCCAAUCAAACCGGGAGAUAGCUGGUUCUCCCCGAAAGCUAUUUAGGUAGCGCCUCGUGAAUUCAUCUCCGGGGGUAGAGCACUGUUUCGGCUAGGGGGCCAUCCCGGCUUACCAACCCGAUGCAAACUGCGAAUACCGGAGAAUGUUAUCACGGGAGACACACGGCGGGUGCUAACGUCCGUCGUGAAGAGGGAAACAACCCAGACCGCCAGCUAAGGUCCCAAAGUCAUGGUUAAGUGGGAAACGAUGUGGGAAGGCCCAGACAGCCAGGAUGUUGGCUUAGAAGCAGCCAUCAUUUAAAGAAAGCGUAAUAGCUCACUGGUCGAGUCGGCCUGCGCGGAAGAUGUAACGGGGCUAAACCAUGCACCGAAGCUGCGGCAGCGACACUUAAGUGUUGUUGGGUAGGGGAGCGUUCUGUAAGCCGUUGAAGGUGUGCUGUGAGGCAUGCUGGAGGUAUCAGAAGUGCGAAUGCUGACAUAAGUAACGAUAAAGCGGGUGAAAAGCCCGCUCGCCGGAAGACCAAGGGUUCCUGUCCAACGUUAAUCGGGGCAGGGUGAGUCGACCCCUAAGGCGAGGCCGAAAGGCGUAGUCGAUGGGAAACGGGUUAAUAUUCCCGUACUUGGUGUUACUGCGAAGGGGGGACGGAGAAGGCUAUGUUGGCCGGGCGACGGUUGUCCCGGUUUAAGCGUGUAGGCUGGUUUUCCAGGCAAAUCCGGAAAAUCAAGGCUGAGGCGUGACGACGAGGCACCACGGUGCUGAAGCAACAAAUGCCCUGCUUCCAGGAAAAGCCUCUAAGCUCCAGGUAACACGAAAUCGUACCCCAAACCGACACAGGUGGUCAGGUAGAGAAUACCAAGGCGCUUGAGAGAACUCGGGUGAAGGAACUAGGCAAAAUGGUGCCGUAACUUCGGGAGAAGGCACGCUGACACGUAGGUGAAGUGAUUUACUCACGGAGCUGAAGUCAGUCGAAGAUACCAGCUGGCUGCAACUGUUUAUUAAAAACACAGCACUGUGCAAACACGAAAGUGGACGUAUACGGUGUGACGCCUGCCCGGUGCCGGAAGGUUAAUUGAUGGGGUUAUCCUCGCGGAGAAGCUCCUGAUCGAAGCCCCGGUAAACGGCGGCCGUAACUAUAACGGUCCUAAGGUAGCGAAAUUCCUUGUCGGGUAAGUUCCGACCUGCACGAAUGGCGUAAUGAUGGCCAGGCUGUCUCCACCCGAGACUCAGUGAAAUUGAACUCGCUGUGAAGAUGCAGUGUACCCGCGGCAAGACGGAAAGACCCCGUGAACCUUUACUAUAGCUUGACACUGAACAUUGAGCCUUGAUGUGUAGGAUAGGUGGGAGGCUUUGAAGCGUGGACGCCAGUCUGCGUGGAGCCAACCUUGAAAUACCACCCUUUAAUGUUUGAUGUUCUAACGUGGACCCGUUACCCGGGUUGCGGACAGUGUCUGGUGGGUAGUUUGACUGGGGCGGUCUCCUCCCAAAGAGUAACGGAGGAGCACGAAGGUUGGCUAAUCCUGGUCGGACAUCAGGAGGUUAGUGCAAUGGCAUAAGCCAGCUUGACUGCGAGCGUGACGGCGCGAGCAGGUGCGAAAGCAGGUCAUAGUGAUCCGGUGGUUCUGAAUGGAAGGGCCAUCGCUCAACGGAUAAAAGGUACUCCGGGGAUAACAGGCUGAUACCGCCCAAGAGUUCAUAUCGACGGCGGUGUUUGGCACCUCGAUGUCGGCUCAUCACAUCCUGGGGCUGAAGUAGGUCCCAAGGGUAUGGCUGUUCGCCAUUUAAAGUGGUACGCGAGCUGGGUUUAGAACGUCGUGAGACAGUUCGGUCCCUAUCUGCCGUGGGCGCUGGAGAACUGAGGGGGGCUGCUCCUAGUACGAGAGGACCGGAGUGGACGCAUCACUGGUGUUCGGGUUGUCAUGCCAAUGGCACUGCCCGGUAGCUAAAUGCGGAAGAGAUAAGUGCUGAAAGCAUCUAAGCACGAAACUUGCCCCGAGAUGAGUUCUCCCUGAGACUUAGAGUCUCCUGAAGGAACGUUGAAGACGACGACGUUGAUAGGCCGGGUGUGUAAGCGCAGCGAUGCGUUGAGCUAACCGGUACUAAUGAACCGUGAGGCUUAACCUU
rnacentral:rRNA from 1 species